rnacentral:rRNA from 1 species
UAUUGGACAAUGGGCGCAAGCCUGAUCCAGCCAUGCCGCGUGAGUGAUGAAGGCCNUANNGUUGUNANGCUCUUUCAACGGUGNNNNNAAUGACGGUAACCGUAGAAGAAGCCCCGGCUAACUUCGUGCCAGCAGCCGCGGUAAUACGAAGGGGGCUAGCGUUGUUCGGAAUUACUGGGCGUAAAGCGCACGUAGGCGGAUUGGUAAGUUAGGGGUGAAAUCCCAGGGCUCAACCCUGGAACUGCCUUUAAUACUGCCGGUCUAGAGUUCAAGAGAGGUGAGUGGAAUUCCGAGUGUAGAGGUGAAAUUCGUAGAUAUUCGGAGGAACACCAGUGGCGAAGGCGGCUCACUGGCUCGAUACUGACGCUGAGGUGCGAAAGCGUGGGGAGCAAACAG